rnacentral:rRNA from 1 species
UACGUAGGGCGCAAGCGUUGUCCGGAAUUAUUGGGCGUAAAGAGCUCGUAGGCGGCUUGUUGCGUCGGUUGUGAAAGCCCGGGGCUUAACCCCGGGUCUGCAGUCGAUACGGGCAGGCUAGAGUGUGGUAGGGGAGAUCGGAAUUCCUGGUGUAGCGGUGAAAUGCGCAGAUAUUCGGAAGAACACCAAUGGCGAAAGCAGCUCUCUGGGACGGUACUGACGCUGAGACGCGAAAGCGUGGGGAGCGAACAGG